rnacentral:tRNA from 1 species
GAGGGUAUAGCUCAGUGGCUGAGCAGGUGCUUGGCAUGCACAAGGUCUUGUGUUCAAUCCUCAGUCUCUCCA